CCUGUUACAGAUUCUGUCCCAAAAUCAAAACAAGAAACAAGUUGAUUGGGUGGGAAGAACAUCUUACUCUCUUCUUCAUCAUCCAUCUUCCACAGUGAGUCCCAGCAGUAUUCCCAUGAAAAAUUGCAACCUUGUUGACUGUAGUUAUCAGGCAGAGGUUUUAUUAUUGUGUCUUCUUCAGGCAUAUCAAUGUCUUUCCAUAUAUCAUCCAUGGAGUAGCCAUUUCCAUCUUCAAAUUCUGGACUGUUUUUCUUUCCUGCCAUGUCAAGGCCCCCAGUGUCAUAAAAGCUUACAAUAUUUCCAGUACCAGAGGAGGGCAAGGAAUCGAC
rnacentral:lncRNA from 1 species